rnacentral:tRNA from 1 species
GAAAUAUGUUAAACAAGAUCAAGCUUCUAACUUGAAUCUUUAGCGGUGAAGUUCCGUUAAUAUUUCU